AUUGAACGCUGGCGGCAGGCCUAACACAUGCAAGUCGAACGGUAACAGGAAGAAGCUUGCUUCUUUGCUGACGAGUGGCGGACGGGUGAGUAAUGUCUGGGAAACUGCCUGAUGGAGGGGGAUAACUACUGGAAACGGUAGCUAAUACCGCAUAACGUCGCAAGACCAAAGAGGGGGACCUUCGGGCCUCUUGCCAUCGGAUGUGCCCAGAUGGGAUUAGCUAGUAGGUGGGGUAACGGCUCACCUAGGCGACGAUCCCUAGCUGGUCUGAGGGGAUGACCCGCCACACUGGAACUGAGACACGGUCCAGACUCCGACGGGAGGCAGCAGUGGGGAAUAUUGCACAAUGGGCGAAAGCCUGAUGCAGCCAUGCCGCGUGUAUGAAGAAGGACUUCGGGUUGUAAAGUACUUUAAGCGGGGAGGAAGGGAGUAAAGUUAAUACCUUCGCUCAUUGACGUUACCCGCAGAAGAAGCACCGGCUAACUCCGUG
rnacentral:rRNA from 1 species